GCAGGUCUGAAGGCAAAAGAGAGUCCAAACCAGGACUAGCAAAGUGUACCUAAUAUAGCUGUUUAGUGUGUGUGUAAAAUAAAUAAAUAAUAUGGUAAUGGCUCUUUCCACUACUGAUAUAUAUAAAGUUUAAUUAGACUGUAAAACUAAAUCUUACUUUAGAUAAAUUUUAUUUUGUGAUUUCAUAAUGUGUACUAAACUGUAGUUAAAAUAAAUGUCAGGAUUCCUUUAUUUCACAUAUUGUAGCCUGUAAAUCAGGUUUGAGAGUCAGAGCUGAGGAGAAAACUUUGGCUCUCUCUGCUCCUCCAUCAGUGACCCUCCCCCCGCGCACCUGCACUGCAGCUCUCAAACUUUUGCAGGGCAUGUGACGUCAUUCAGUCCACAGUCGGAGUAGCCGUUUAAGUGGAGCUCUGAAGACUGCAAAGCACGCUUUCUGCAGGUGAAGGAAGCCACGGCAGCAAGCCAAAUACAGACGAUAACGUGGCGCUCGCAUGCAGUGAUAAUGGCUGUUCUGAUAGUGGUGUUUUUUGUGACUCCAGAUGGCUAAUAUUUGACAUAGCAGCUACUCCGUGUCCCCCAGAGAAAUGAAAAAGGAGGAGGCAGUGAG